UACUGAGUGUAAAAACUCCCAAACCCAUUGCAAACCUACCAAAGUUGCUUCGGCGGGCUAAAUCGCCCCGGGCGCCCCAGCGCGGCCCGGGCCAAGGCGACCGCCGGAGGCCCCAAACCCUGAAUUCACAGUGGACUUCUGAGUGGCAUAAGCAAAUAAAUCAAAACUUUCAGCAACGGAUCUCUUGGUUCUGGCAUCGAUGAAGAACGCAGCAAAAUGCGAUAAGUAAUGUGAAUUGCAGAAUUCAGUGAAUCAUCGAAUCUUUGAACGCACAUUGCGCCCGCCAGUAUUCUGGCGGGCAUGCCUGUCUGAGCGUCAUUUCAACCCUCAGGACCCCGUUUCGCGGGACCUGGCGUUGGGGAUCAGCCCGGAGCCCUCGCGGCCGGCGGCUGGCCCCUAAAUCUAGUGGCGGUCCUCCCGACGACCUCCUCUGCGCAGUAGUUAACUCGCCUCGCAGCUGGAAAGCGGGACGGCCACGCCGUAAAACCCCCAACUCACGCAAGGUGACCU
rnacentral:rRNA from 1 species